GUAUUGAUUGCGGGUUAGCGCAUAAAUGAGGUCAUUCUACACUUUUUAAAAGGGGUGUUUGUGUGAAAACGCAAGCCCCCCUCCGAACAAGCCGAAAGGGGGACCCACGCGGUGGUGCACAUAGGGGUGAGAUGGAUGGUGUGUGAGAGCACUCGGGCGUGCACGACAAAAAGUCAGCGACAGCCCUUGCGCCUCGGUUAUGCGAUAAUGAUCCUUCCGCAGGUUCACCUACGGAAA
rnacentral:misc_RNA from 1 species